AUUAAGAGCUUGCUCUUAUGAAGUUAGCGGCGGACGGGUGAGUAACACGUGGGUAACCUGCCCAUAAGACUGGGAUAACUCCGGGAAACCGGGGCUAAUACCGGAUAACAUUUUGAACUGCAUGGUUCGAAAUUGAAAGGCGGCUUCGGCUGUCACUUAUGGAUGGACCCGCGUCGCAUUAGCUAGUUGGUGAGGUAACGGCUCACCAAGGCAACGAUGCGUAGCCGACCUGAGAGGGUGAUCGGCCACACUGGGACUGAGACACGGCCCAGACUCCUACGGGAGGCAGCAGUAGGGAAUCUUCCGCAAUGGACGAAAGUCUGACGGAGCAACGCCGCGUGAGUGAUGAAGGCUUUCGGGUCGUAAAACUCUGUUGUUAGGGAAGAACAAGUGCUAGUUGAAUAAGCUGGCACCUUGACGGUACCUAACCAGAAAGCCACGGCUAACUACGUGCCAGCAGCCGCGGUAAUACGUAGGUGGCAAGCGUUAUCCGGAAUUAU
rnacentral:rRNA from 1 species